rnacentral:rRNA from 1 species
AUUGAACGCUGACGGCAGGCCUAACACAUGAAAGUCGAGCGGAGCGGCGGACGGGUGAGUAAUGCCUAGGAAUCUGCCUGGUCUUGGGGGAUAACGUACGGAAACGGGCGCUAAUACCGCAUACUAUCAGAUGAGACUAGGUCGGAUUAGCUAGUUGGUGGGGUAAAGGCCUACCAAGGCGACGCACCGUAACUGGUCUGAGAGGAUGAUCAGGCAACCUGGACUUGAGACACGGUCCAUACGCCUACGGUAGGAAGCAGUGGGGAAUAUUGGACAAUGGGCGAAAGCCUGAGCCAGCCAUGCCGCGUGUGUGAUGAAGGUCUUAGGAUUGUAAAGCACGUUAAGUUGGGAGGCGUUACCAACAGAAUAAGCACCGGCUAACUUCGUGCCAGCAGCCGCGGUAAUAC